rnacentral:rRNA from 1 species
UACAGAGGUGGCAAGCGUUGUUCGGAAUUACUGGGCGUAAAGGGCGCGUAGGCGGCUUUUUAAGUCAGACGUGAAAUCCCCCGGCUUAACCUGGGAACUGCGUCUGAUACUGGGAAGCUUGAGUUCGGGAGAGGGAUGUAGAAUUCCAGGUGUAGCGGUGAAAUGCGUAGAUAUCUGGAGGAAUACCGGUGGCGAAGGCGGCAUCCUGGACCGAAACUGACGCUGAGGCGCGAAAGCUAGGGGAGCAAGCAGG